rnacentral:rRNA from 1 species
GCAGUCGACGGUACAGAAAGCAGCUUGCUGCUUUGCUGACGAGUGGCGGACGGGUGAGUAAUGUCUGGGGAACUGCCUGAUGGAGGGGGAUAACUACUGGAAACGGUAGCUAAUACCGCAUAACGUCGCAAGACCAAAGAGGGGGACCUUCGGGCCUCUUGCCAUCGGAUGUGCCCAGAUGGGAUUAGCUUGUUGGUGGGGUAACGGCUCACCAAGGCGACGAUCCCUAGCUGGUCUGAGAGGAUGACCAGCCACACUGGAACUGAGACACGGUCCAGACUCCUACGGGAGGCAGCAGUGGGGAAUAUUGCACAAUGGGCGCAAGCCUGAUGCAGCCAUGCCGCGUGUAUGAAGAAGGCCUUCGGGUUGUAAGANUUUUCAGCGGGGAGGAAGGGAGUAAAGUUAAUACCUUUGCUCAUUGACGUUACCCGCAGAAGAAGCACCGGCUAACUCCGUGCCAGCAGCCGCGGUAAUACGGAGGGUGCAAGCGUUAAUCGGAAUUACUGGGCGUAAAGCGCACGCAGGCGGUUUGUUAAGUCAGAUGUGAAAUCCCCGGGCUCAACCUGGGAACUGCAUCUGAUACUGGCAAGCUUGAGUCUCGUAGAGGGGGGUAGAAUUCCAGGUGUAGCGGUGAAAUGCGUAGAGAUCUGGAGGAAUACCGGUGGCGAAGGCGGCCCCCUGGACGAAGACUGACGCUCAGGUGCGAAAGCGUGGGGAGCAAC